rnacentral:rRNA from 1 species
AUUGAACGCUGGCGGCAGGCCUAACACAUGCAAGUCGAGCGAGAGGCAGACGGGUGAGUAAUGCCUAGGAAUCUGCCUGGUAGAGGGGGAUAACUACUGGAAACGGUGGCUAAUACCACAUACUAUAGGAUGAACCGAUAUGUGAUUAGCUAGUAGGUGGGGUAAAGGCGCACCUAGGCGACGAUCUAUAGCUGGUCUGAGAGGAUGAUCAGCCACACUGGGACGGAGACAAGGCCCAGACUCCUACGGGAGGCAGCAGUGGGGAAUAUGGCACAAUGGGCGCAAGCCUGAUGCAGCCAUGCCGCGUGUAUGAAGAAGGCCUUAGGGUUGUAAAGUACUUUCAGCGGGGAGGCGUUACCCGCAGAAGAAGCACCUGCUAACUCCGUGCCAGCCGCCGCGGUAAUAC